UUUUUUUUUUUUCCGCCGUGGUUCUCUCUGAAACUUGUUUGAAAACCCAAGCGAAAACCGCGACGACCUGCACGCUCGAAAGCGAGUCCCAAUUCCUGACCACCACGGCUUUAAGACUGUCCUUCAGCUGGGAGGGAGAUCCGUUGCUUUAAGACUAGCCUGGUAAGGAGCCUUGUUUUGUGGUCUGUUGAAGUGGCGGCUGAGUGGGGGGGGGGGUUG
rnacentral:lncRNA from 1 species